CCUACGGGGGGCAGCAGUGGGGAAUAUUGCACAAUGGGCGCAGGCCUGAUGCAGCCAUGCCGCGUGUAUGAAGAAGGCCUUAGGGUUGUAAAGUACUUCCAGUUGGGAGGAAGGCGUUGAUGCUAAUAUCAUCAACGAUUGACGUUACCAACAGAAGAAGCACCGGCUAACUCCGUGCCAGCAGCCGCGGUAAUACGGAGGGUGCAAGCGUUAUUCGGAAUUACUGGGCGUAAAGCGCACGCAGGCGGUUGAUUAAGUUAGAUGUGAAAUCCCCGGGCUUAACCUGGGAAUGGCAUCUAAGACUGGUCAGCUAGAGUCUUGUAGAGGGGGGGUAGAAUUCCAUGUGUAGCGGUGAAAUGCGUAGAGAUGUGGAGGAAUACCGGUGGCGAAGGCGGCCCCCUGGACAAAGACUGACGCUCAGGUGUGAAAGCGUGGGGAGCAAACAGGAUUAGAUACCCCUGUAGUC
rnacentral:rRNA from 1 species